CCUACGGGGGGCUGCAGUGGGGAAUAUUGGACAAUGGGGGGAACCCUGAUCCAGCCAUGCCGCGUGUGUGAAGAAGGCCCUCGGGUUGUAAAGCACUUUCAGUGAGGAAGAACGCCUGGUGGUUAAUACCCAUCAGGAAAGACAUCACUCACAGAAGAAGCACCGGCUAACUCCGUGCCAGCAGCCGCGGUAAUACGGAGGGUGCGAGCGUUAAUCGGAAUUACUGGGCGUAAAGCGCGCGUAGGUGGCUUGAUAAGCCGGUUGUGAAAGCCCCGGGCUCAACCUGGGAACGGCAUCCGGAACUGUCAAGCUAGAGUGCAGGAGAGGAAGGUAGAAUUCCCGGUGUAGCGGUGAAAUGCGUGGAGAUCGGGAGGAAUACCAGUGGCGAAGGCGGCCUUCUGGACUGACACUGACACUGAGGUGCGAAAGCGUGGGUAGCAAACAGGAUUAGAUACCCGGGUAGUC
rnacentral:rRNA from 1 species